GGAAAAUGACAUGCUUUCCAAAAGUAUUUAAAUAUCAACUCUCUUUUGUUACAGCUGUGUAAGAGCCAUAUAAAAUCAAGUAACAUGUAGGAGAGAAAAGGGGUCAUGAAGGAGGAGUUUGAGCAAAAAGUAAUGCUAAAAAAGAAAAAAAAAUCCAUUGCAAAUGGUAAUGUAAAUAAGGUAAAACUUGAAAACUAUGAAGCAAUACUGCAGAUAGUCAUGUCUGAAGGAAUACCUAGAGGGUUCUUUUUGGUGGUGAUCUUCACUCCUGGAUCUGAAUUUUUCUGGACUGUCUCCCUUACCACUUCUGCAGGACACAAUUGCAACAGAAUUUUCCUUGAAUCAACGGAGGACUAUUACUUGAUGAGAUCAUUGUUUUCAGAUUUCCCCAGGAAGGAAAUACUGUCAACACAGUCAGUGUCUGAGUUUAUCCUCUCAGUGGAAAAGGUGGGUGAAAAACACUUAUUACUUCCUAUGUGCAUAAUUUAAACCUGUGAAACAUACUGCAGAAAUGUAAGGAGCCAUGAAUUUAGACACCGUUUUCAGCUAAAAUAAAGGUUAAAGUUUGUCUGUAGUGUAAGCCUGAGGUUGCAAAUACCCUCAGAAAAUGUUGAGUUUUGUGUGCAAAAGAGUAUGGUAGUGCAAGUCAGGCUGAAGGAGACAAAGUACAAAUUCAGAUAUUUCUAUCAGUAUUUACCUAAAAAUUAAAAAAUGAAACAAUAUUUUCCAAAGUACAGGCACACAGGCAGCAGGCUUGAAAAUUGCAGCAAUUCUCGGUUCUUUGCUUGUUCCAUUAUAUUUAUCAUAUGCUUAGUGCUUUAUGGGACUGGCAGCACAAAAUUUCUGAUUAGAAGUUUGUUCACUGUAGUUCAUCACAAAGUGCCUGUGUUCUUUAUGCUUGGUUGAACCACAAAGAUUCUUGCAGCAACAUUGUGAACAACUGGAUCCCAUAAUAUUUCAUGCAACAAAACUAUUGAACAGAAGGCAUGAUUUAGGUGCUAAAGUAUUUUAUGGCACAUAUUCUUAUGUGAUAUGGCUUAGAUAAGUUCAGAACUCUAUUCAGAACAUCCAGUCUUAGAAUAAGGGUUGAUAAGUUAUUUUGACAAAAAUCUGUUUACCUUCCAAAAAUGCAUACAUGCAGGACAAUCAGUGCAAACAAUGGACAGAGAAGAUAGUGAGUAAGAGAUUAAUUCAGAGAUCCUCAGUCAAAGAAAUAGUUCCACAUACUUUUUUAUUUUGUUUUGAGGAUAGGUAUGAUCCUACAAAGAAAUUUGCCACAAUCUUUUGAUAUUUAUGCAAAGGAGAACAGUUGACAGUAGAUAACAAUUUGAAUGCAGGCCUAAAUCAGGGGACAAUAAAACAUCACAGUAUAAGGAAGGCAUAGGUAUGCCAGCGUUAGCAAUGUCUAAAACCUACUCCGAAUUUGUGGUCACAGCACAAGGGAUAAAAUAGCAAUGUAGAAUUAGUAUGAUUUAAGAAAAUCGUAUAUGUGUCUUGACCUGCAGCUGACACCAGUUUAAAUUAUGCUGAAGAAUCAACUCUGACUCCUCAAUGCUACCAAAAUACUUUCUCCUGCAAACAAUGGAAUUAUCUCCUCCCACACAUACCAAGAUUCACUGGAAGUUCAAUGUAACUCAGCACAUGAAAGUAUUUGGGCAACAUUCAUUUCAUAUUUGUAAGUUGAAGUAAUAACAAGGAAAGGAGCUCUCUUGGGGACGGAUACGAAAUGUUCUGUGCUACCAAGAAAUGGAAAGAGGAAACUUGUAGAUGAUAAAGAUAAAAGUGCAAGAUGUACUGAAUGUCCUAAAGGGAAAGUAUACCCUGCAAAGCCCUCUGCUCGGCCAAUGUCUGUUGUCUGUUCUUUCUCUGGAGCUUUACUCACUAGAGAGCAUUACUCACUUAUAAAGUGAUUUAAGUGCAGGCCUCUUUGUCUUGUGGGUUUAUACAUUGGCUUUAGUCCUGUGUGCUUCUUAAUUUAAAUGCUAACUGAGAUCACAAAUGUCAUUGGGAGGUUUGUUCCCAAACAACCCUCUUGCCACUCAAGCCGCUUUGUAGCCUGAACUUUCCAGACAGGAGGUGUCUCUGGCCUUAUGAACACAAGAAUGUAAACCUGGAGAGAAGCCCCUCCAAGGUAAGAUAGUGCUUGUAAUUGUUUUGCUCUUCUACUUUUCUUGUCAUCAAGGCAUCAUGUCUUUCUAAAACAUAUGCUACAACCACAGAGGAAACAUCAUCAUCUUAGUGAAACAUCUGUGGGAAAAAAGCUUACGUGAGAUGUUGUACAUAGGGAUAGACUAGAUCUUACCAUGUUUACUUUCUGACUUCAGAACAAGUGGACAUUCAACAAUGGUAAGAAGCCCAAAUUUAUAUUGUAUUUGAAUUUCAUAGAAUAUUCACAGAAGAUGUGUCUGUAUAAUUACUAAUAUUCUCCUAGUAACUGUAAUUUUAAUAAUAAUGCUUGUGAUCAUUGGAAAAAAAAAGGAAAAAGUAAAUGCUCAUCCAGAACAUUCUGUUAAGCAUGUGGAUGAGUCAUUGAAAGAAAAAAGAAAAAAAAAUUGAGCUUUUUAUUUUUUUUUUUAAUGAAUUACUCACUCAUGGAUCUAGACACAUCUAGCAGAUGUCAGAAUGUGUGAUGUUCGUGUCAUCACAAGUGGCAAGUUAAAGCACAAUAACAUUUUUUUUCUCUCCUCUGCAUUCUGUGACGGGAUACUUGCCAUUACUAAGAUGUAGGAACUGUCAGAUUACAUUUCUCCCAGUCUUCAGAGACACUGCCACAUCAUAUACUCGUUUGAAAUCAGCAAUGUUCAGUUCAUUCUCUAUCUCAUUUUCCACAGAACUUUACCCUUUUACAAAAUUACUAAUGUGCUGCUUCACACACUGGCGUUUUUGCGAAGCUUUGCACUGGAGGAGGCACUCAAAGCAAAAGUCCUAACUCUAAGAUACUAUUUAUCAGCCACUAUGUUUUUCUGCUAAAAACAAAAAAGACACCCAGUUUAGUCAUCCAUAAGUCAGCCUAGAAAUCAUGAAAACUUUUCUUUCUCUCUCACCCACAUUUGAUAAAUUUACAACUGACUUUUCUGUUGACAACAGGAGAGAAAGAGGGAAGAGCAUCCCUUCAACUGUUAGCUGUUUUGGUGCAGAGAAUUGUUUGAAUCCAACUGCUGCAGGCUGAGAGCAGUGAAGCAAUAAUACAGCAGGUUUAGCUCCCAACUGUCCCUAAUUUUUUCAUUAACAAUCUUCAUAGUUUGUCCUCUGUCUAGAGAAUUCCCUUCAUUAAGUAUGCAGAUUUGGAAAGAAUGAAAAAUGCUUGGUUUUAAAAGCAAUGGCUGGAUAUUUCAUCAUAUAUUCCAGCUCCUUCUCUCAUUUUCACUCGUAGCACCUUGCUUAUAUGUUCUCUUUUGUUUUUACCUAUAUUUCUGCUUUUUGCCACAGAUGUUUUGUUGGGUUAUUUUUCCUGUCACUUGCAUGUUGUUUUAUUUCAAAUCCCAAUUUUCUGUUGUGAAAGGUUUGUAGAUGAAAAAAAAAGGAGAGACUAAGUUGCAGAGUGUAUUGACUUCUCUAGAUUUACAUUUCCAUCAACAUUCAUAGUAGUCUAAUUAAUUUGUGGACCUUGCAAGCUUUCUCCUUCCCAAAAAAAAAAAAAAAAAAAAAAAAAGUGUAUGUAGGCCAACUUAGGGUAGUUAAGAAUCACAAUUCAAGUUAGAAAUAAUAACAAUUCAAGAAAGAAAACAAUCACCAUUUUUGGUCUCUUUCUUUUCUGUAAGAGGUCAGAGCCAACACUUCCACUGAGUUCAAGAGGGAGACUUCUCUGCCUUUAUGGUCAAGUAAACACAGUUAAAAUACAUAAGCCAGACAUAUACAGACAAAAUACAUGGUCUGUUUCUAAGGCCAAAUUUGGUAACCAAUCACAAUGAAUUCACUGUUUCUAAAUGAGGGCAGAAGUUGUCCCUACAAGACAUUUUCUUUAUUUAUGAUUUUAGUAAGCUUUGUUGAGUUUAUCAAGGCCUUCCUUUUUUUUAGUUGGUUGGGUUUUUUUUUUGUUUGUUUCGUUUUUUGUUUUGUGCGCACAGACUAUCUCAUACGGUGGAUUAUUAUUCCUUGUCUCCGAGUAUAUGACAGUUUUGUAGCACACAAGAAAAAACAAUGUUAUGAAUACUUAUGUGCGGUAUCUUUCUUCAAGAUGAUGCUACUGUCUAUGCAAAGAUUGCAAUUUUGAGAUGAAAGAAAGGACACAUUCGUAAAUGGUAGCACAGUCCUGAAAUUUAUACUAUGGAUUUCAGCUUUUCAGUUUAGUUAGAAAAAUCUUCAGGCUUUCAAGGCAUCCUCUGCAGUGAUCCAGAGAUAAGCUAAACCUGAACAUUUUUUCAUGAAAAAUGAAAGAACACGUUGUUGCUAAUACACUAUUAGCUGAAGUUUUCCAAGGGAUAGGAUUGAAGCUCUGCUCCUUUCAAGAGACAGUCUGACAGCAGCCACACUAGAGCCAACUGUACAGUCACUCUCCAGUGCAGCCAACAAACAAGCUGAGGGAAGACAGCUAAGGGAUCAGACCCAGGUCUCGCCAUAGACGUAGCUGUUGGAAACAUUAUAUUCUGAAACAAAACUGAAAUAAAUUAUCAGCAGAAGUGUGGGACUGACUACACCCGGAAUGACUAAUAUUUUAAUGUUGAAGGAAAUUUCCCAGACUGCACUUUUAGAGACCACUGCUUAUGACUGAUAAUAUCAAGGACAGAAAGUGCAGGAAAGUAGUCAAGGAAUUGCUCACAGGAGGCUAAAUCUGAACACCUUCUUCCUCCUUGUUUUUGUGAUACUUGCUGAGAAGAUGCUGAUGUUUUCAAGGUCAAAGUUCUCCAAAGAAGGUUAUUCCAUUCUCUUGGUGAAUUCUCCAUGACCACAGACUCUCCACUCUGUGUAGGGGACAUUUUUUGAGGUACAGAGGAGAGUUAGAUGCCCAAUUCCCAUUAUUUCUCAAGGCAAUUACAUGCUUAACUGCCCUCUGUGCCUUUUAUAACCUUCCUUUUAGGAGUCAGAUGUCCAUGAUUACAUAGAUUAUCUACAAGUUUCACAACAGCAGUACUUUGAGGUACUUUAAAAUGCUAUUGGAAGGUUUGACAACAUACAUAAAAUGUAGAGUAAUGAUCAUAGAGUCUAUGGAUUGUUUGUUUUAAGAAGCUGAGAUUUUAAUGCAAAAAUAGGAUACAUUUUUAAGGAAACAUACCCUCAGCCUAAAAUACAUAUAAUUAUGGUUUAUUCUGUUGCUCCAGUGGAUUAAAACAUUCAUUAUACGAGCCACAGAUAAGAUAUAAUCUGGGAGGCUGAUGACUUUUGCAACAUCACAGAAGAUUAAAGGGGAGAUUUUGUUGUAAACUAGUUGAGUUUGUAGAAAAAAACUAUGUCUACUAUGUGGUAAAAUGAUUGCUGUCACUUUCAGCUCUGGCUUUUCUAUUCCAUUUUUCAUAGUCUAGCUGGCUGUAAAUCUUCAAAAUUGCAUAAUGCCAAUUAAGAAAAUAAAGAGCAAAUUGAGAUACCAGUACUCAUAGAGGAAUGUUGCUGGCUGAGGCCCCAGAUAUUUUUUGUGUCUCCAGUGAUUUGCCUGUAACUGUUCCAGGAAGUUUGGGAAAAGCUUUGCAUUGACAUCAUGCUAUAAAUGCUGGAAAAAGCUUUAUCCUGGGAAAAAUUUGAGUCCCAGUUCAGUGUCCUGGGUAACCUAUCCUACGACUUCUAUGGAUAUUCUCAAGGUUAAUGAAUUCAGCAGAAAUCUAACCCAUCUCUUUCUAUGCUUUCAAAGCUGUUUUAUGGAAGAAAAAGUUAACAAAUUUUUUAUAUCUGCAUUAUUUUCUCCUGAUUUUACUUUUCCCAAAAUCUUUUGUUUUUUGUCUUUUCAAGUGCAGCUGCUCCUAUGAACCACAUAAUAGGAAAGUAUGUUAUACUAUUAUACUUCAUUUAAAAAAAAUACUUUAACAGUAAUUUAUUCUCACUAACAAAAGAAACAGAUGAAGGAUGGCUCGCCUUUUCUUAAAACAUGGUCUUCAGGAUUGUUUGCUUCUUUUUAUAAAUUAAAAGCAGUAGACAUAAUGACAGUAGGCAUAGAUCAAACUAAUUCCUGGAAAAAAAUAAAACAUCAGAAGGGCCAUUUAGAUUCAGUUCAUAAAGAUAGCCACUGUGGAAAGUUAAAUCACUGACAAGUGAGCUUCUGAGGAGGAGGGAAAGCAUCCAGUGACUGUUAGGAUCAGUACUUAAUCUCUUAGUUGAAAAUUCAAUAGAGUUACUAUUUAGAGGGGUUUUAGUUUUCCAGGAAUUAUUGUUACUUCCACCACUUGUCAGUGAAUGGUUGGGUUUUCUGAACCAAACUGUGUGACUCAGAAUACUUGUGAUUACAUCUCUGUGGAAGUAUCAAGGACCAAGAAGAUGUGCUGUUCUUGCGGCGUCUGUCUCUCACACUGAUUGAGAGAAAAGCCAGUUGACUAGUUUGAUCUAGAAGCCCUAUUUUUAGAUGAACUGAUUUAGGCAAGAAAAACCUAACUAAAUAAAUUCCAAUUACUGUAUUGCUGUUCAUUUUCAAGUUAAAUCUUUUAGUAUGAAAGAUCUGCAAAAUAAUUUUGUGAGAAGUAACAAUCCUUUUCUUGUAAUAGUGGUUGGGAAAAAAAACAGGAAAUAGAACAACCUUGCAAGUUCAUAAGAAAUGAAUUUCUUUUGCAGUUAUUGCUAAAUGUGCCAUUUUUUUCUGACUUUUUAUUCUUUGUGUACAUUUUUUCAUAAAUAUGUUGUACGGGAAAAAAUUGUUUUAAUAACCUCUCACAUUUGGCAAACUGAAACCCCGAUGUCUCAUUUCACUUUUCUGAUAUUUCACAGCCAAGGAUUAGCAACAUUUUAGAAACAAUGCUAAGACUGUGUGUACUUGUUGUUUUUAAUAAAACUGUCAAGUGCUAAACCCUGUGAGUGCAUAGGUAUAUUUAUAGAUUAUUUCUCUCCAAAUGAAUACGAAGAAUUAUUUUUAAAACCACAUUCCCAAAUGUAAAGCUAGCAAAACAAAGCAAUAUUUCACUAUAAAAAAAUAUGCAAAAACUAAUACAUGUUUUGGACAGACAGAGAAAGACAUGUUUCAGUAUUCUGAAAAUAAUCUGAUUCUAAAUAAGACACACAAUAAAAAAAGAACUGUUAGAAACUAAUUUCUUUCCUUUUGCCUUCAGUGUUUUUUUUACUUUAUUCAAUACAGAUUAGUCAAUUAUAAUCUAGUACUACCAUUUCAGAGUAUAACAGCUAUUAUUGGACUUCAAAAAUAAAGGUAAAUGUUAUUUAUCUGCUUAUGAUACAGGUAAUGAAUCUCAAGUAUAGGCAGAUUACACCCAAGUUCAAAUACUUACAUUUAGUCACAUUUUUAGUUUUUAGUCACUUAUUGGAUUCAGAAACCCAAGUCAACUAAACUGUCUGUCUUCACAUAAUCAUUACCUUCCACAUUUACUAAAUCUGAAAGAUCUAUCUGUACCACUAUCCUUUGUAGACAGUGAACAAACCCAUCUAUUUUAUUCAUAACCUUCAGUAUCUGUAGUCACAUUUUCCUACCUGAUAUCAGCUCCAGAAAUGUUAGGAAUGGUGCCUAAAUGUUAUGUUUCACUGUGAUUCUUCUGAAAAGCAUCAAUACAUCGAGACAGUGUUCAUUUUGACGUUGGUGGCAAUGAGAACCAGAACUGCUCAACUCAAGGCUAGAGAUUCUCCUAGACUUUAAGAAUAGUUCAGCUUUAAGAGUAGAAAUAAUCUGAUUUGAUGUAGAUGUCAACACUGGGUUCUCUUGACAGACAGUGGAAAUCUACUCAGUAGUUCAGAUUGUGAUUCAUAUCAUUCUAAAGUAAACACUUAAAAUAGGCCAGAGAAACCAUACCCUAAUCAAGUCUGCAGAGACUUCAGAUGGAGCCUAAGAUGAUGAACUCAACUGAAGAAAGCUGAUGUUACAAGGAAUCCAUGCAUGUACUAUACAAUACAACAUUUAUACAACAUUUAUUGACUGUUGUAGUCCAUUGUAUCUAGUGUCCUAUAUUCCAAAGAAGAAAAAAAAAACACAAAAAAACCUGCAAGGAUAAAGAUUUUUAAGUCUUCUGCAAUCUUACCUGUAAAAUACAUCCCCAAACCUUAAUAAACCUUUUUUAGAGUUACAACAAAAAUAGUGUAAAGAGACUCUGAAGAAUUAAGACCUUUAAAAAAAAAUAAUAAUUAAAAAAAGUUGAAAUUAGACAUGGGAUUUCAAAAGCAAGGAGAUUUGAAUGUCUAGUGUAAACUGAGCAACCAUAUCCCUUGGGCUUCUUUGAAAGCCUAAAUAUUAGUAAAAGGAAAAUUAAAUCAGGAAAACAUUGGCACUUCUUACCAUUUUGUUACUGGAAAGGGACUGCAGCAAAAAUAGCUAGUUCUCUUAGAGCAAAUGUGUUAAUGUAAAGACACUGUUUCCUUCAUUCUACAAUAUCUUAUUUUUGGAGAAAAACAAGCAUUCCAGUUGCCACGUUUUAUUCAGUUCUGUUUUUUUCAGUUCAGGUGAAUCUAUAUUGAUGGAACCUCUGUCGGCUAAUUUUGUAAAAUACAACUCACAAUAAUCUUGUGAGCGCAGCUCUUUUUCUAAAGCACCAUUUAAAGCAUUUUAAAAGUUUGCCCAUGUUCCACUCCAACUACACAGCAUUAAGCUCUGUCCAUAAAGGAUUUUCUGAAGAGAUUUUGAUAGGAAGACUUGCAAUGAAUACCUUGACUAAUAAAAAUUUAAAAAUACACACUGUAUGUAUUUAUAUUAGUCUGUCUCUUUCAACAGGAAGUGUUAUAGAAAUGCGAUUACCAGACACUGAGGUUUUUUAACGUAUAAAAUAGGAAAGAGAGAGGACAAGCUGUGGUGAAGAAAAUGCAAGCAUUGUACAACUCAACAGACCUCCUGUCCCAGAGAGAUUUAUUUACUGGAAAUUACGGUGAGAGGAAAGAGACUAAAUAACUUUAAGUCCCAAGUUAUUAUGUCAUAUGUAGCCCCAUAGCACAAUAUAACUACAAUCUGCAGCUUUGUAAACUGAGCUGUCAAAUACUUGUUAUUUUAAAGCUGCAGCUUUUCAGGGUCCUCUGACAGCCAGUGGUCCCAGCUCUCAGCCUGAUUCAUUGCUGGCUCUGAGACAGAGGAAGUUCGCGUCUGCUGUAAUCUAAACACUUUGCAAAUGGAGCACUGGAACAGUGGUGAAAGGAGAAAACAGCCUAAACCCUAUAAACCAGACAAGAAUCCUACAAAGCUUCUGGGGAGAAAAGAAAUAAGUACAACAGUACAGAUUGCAAGAUCAGCAAAAGUAUUCAUGCAAUUUUAUUUUGAACAAAAACAUUGAUUUUAAGCCACUUGGAUGAAAAGCAGUGAAAAUUAUUCUCUGUCAAAAAUAUGGAAACAAUGUCCCAGAUGUGUACUUCUGCAACAUCUGUAUUUUCCAUUUCAAGCAUAAAUAUUAAAAGGUGGGUUGUAGGAGGGUAUCUCCUUUUCCUCCGUUCUCUCCUAUCCCUGAGAGUUGUUUGCUUAGUCCUUAAACUGAGAUCAGUGGUUGAUUAUAAAACAUAAAACAAUGCAGAUAAUUUCCAUUACUUUUUCAGAAGCAUCAUGCAAAUGUUAAAGGGAUGAUGUAUUCCUGGGCUGUAGUACCGUGUCCCUGUACUGCUGAGACAAUGAAAUCAGACGUGUCUAUAGUUUACUCUUUCUUAAAGGAAACAAAUGCCCAAAUUCACUGAGAAAUCUUUUUAAAAAUAAUAAUAAUCUUUUCUGAUUUUAGCCUUAUUACAGUACUCACACAAUAGUAGUCUUCCUGAUCUCCAGUACACAUCUGCUGUUCUUACCUUUGCUGUUGAACCAACUUGCACAGAGCAAUGCUCAUCUGCCAUUCAUCCCUCUCUUUAUAUCGUGGUCUAACUGAGUAUAGAAAAUGUUUAUCUUAAGUACUUAUAUGAACCUCAACUUAGACUUACAUGUAGCCUUAGGAUAGCAUUCUAGCUUCAAUUUUCUCUAAACUGUCUGGAAAAUAUAUGUUUCUGUAUAAAAGAAAACUUGGUAAUUCUAUUCUACCAGACCUCAUGGCAAUAAAAAACAAAUGUAUUUUUGUAGUUUGUGUUUGGUGAGUUACAGCUCAAUUCUUUAGCAUUCGUUACAUUGACAAUAAUGCAUUACAGAAGGAAUUGUUGCAAAAGAGAAGGAUUUUUGAGAAGACAUAGUAGUAUAAUUUGUACAAAUUCUGUUCAGAAAGACACAAUGCUGAAAGUUUUGGAACUUACUUGAAAUGCUUAUAGCAGCCAUAACAUUUGCCUUUCAGACAAUGAUUUAUGGGCAGCUGGAAUUUGCAUGCAUUGCUCCGAAUCUGUGGAAGAAUCUAUGUGGUUGUUCAUGGCCUUCAGAAACAUGGAUGCUGCAAAGCAGAGCUAUGGAGAAUAUGGAAAGCAGGCUCAAAAAGCAUCUGCAAAUCUGUGCCAAUAUUAUUGCCUCUGUCAUCAAGCAAUGGAAAGGUUUUUCUAGUUAAAUUCAAGUAAUUAAAUCUCCCUGCUCUCAUUAAAAAAAAUACAACUGUCUGCUGCUGGUCUGAAGAAUUGCACAGAGUGAACGUAAAUUUUAAUUUCAUGGUGCAAGUGUUAAAUUAUUGCCAUCUAAGCUGUCUGCCAGUGUUACAUGAAAUCCCACCACAUUUUAAUAAUUCUCCCUUUGUUUUGGAUGGAAAUACCACGUGUUGUGAUUUGGAAGUUUUUAUGUGCAAUUAGAGCCCUGAGAACUACAACAUAAUCACAUUCAAUUCACCUAAUUGGACAGCGAGGAAACUGUCAUUUCUGAAAUGGUUUGUGUCUUUUGGAAUGUCUGUGUGUAUACACAUGCGUAUAAAAUGAAACAUUUUCUCACCCAUCCUGUGUUAAAAUGUAAUAGAAACUCCUGCUAACUGAAGUUGAAGAUAUAGCUGGGUGUUCUUUAGUAACCUCAAAACAUAUACGUGUGCGUGUAAAUAAAAAACUGUCCUUCUAAACACAAGGAUCCUUCCCUCCUACUUACUUUGCAACAUCUUAGUAAGGAUUUGCCAUCAAUUCCCUCUCUUUACAGUGCAUUUGAUGACAUUUUACAGAUCAUCAUACUAAAUAAGUAAGAACCAUCCUCUGAUUUAGAAGAAAAACCUUUAUUUAUUUCAAUUUAUUUUGGGAGUUCAGAAGUAAUGACAAACUUGACAAUCUUCAUGACAAACAUGACAAUCUUCACAUCACUUUAAGCUGUGUGACCAAAAAGCCAUUAGCUUCACAGAAACAGACAAUACAUUUCAUCCUGAAACAACACUUAUGAUCAACAUUUAUGCAAUCUAUAGGUACUUCCUAUAUUUGUAUCAAUGCAAGUAAGAAGACAUGGAGUAUCAAACCAGCAAGGGCUUAGAAAUAUCAAGCCCAAGAGUUUACCCAUUUACUUCAGUGGAAAAUAGUGCUAGUAAAUAUCAAUACAUAUUUUAAUCUUUUAUUUCAGUAAUUUCCAUGUAAAAGCAAACAUAUUCUGCCAACUUUAUUCAUUGUCUUUGAUCUUUUUUUGAAGCAUAUUAUGAUAGAUUUCUGAAUCUUUUAAUUCAAUGUUGAAGUAGAUAUUAAGUAUAUCACAACACCAAUCCACACUAAAUAGAACUUUUGUUUUUUGUUCUUUUGCUGAAAUGUCUGACAGUAUUUCAAGAAUAAUUUAAUUAUGAACUUUAUAUUAACAAAAGACAAGUGAUUUUUUAUUCCAUUCAGUGUGGAAUAAGAUACUACCUAUAUUUGUUAAGCCCUGUGUAUCAACCAGAAUUUGCAAAGGGAAGUUAUCAACUUCAGAUACUCAUUCUCCAUUUCCCAUAAAUAUGUUAAAAAUACAAAGUCAGCUCCUAAGUUUUUCAUCAAAUAAACUAGCUUAUUAAGAUUAAGUGGCCUGAAACCACCAUCUGUGAGUUCACAUUUAUAUCUAGAAAACCUGUAUAAUCAUGUGUAUUGAGAGUAAGGCUUAGUGUUGGAAGGCCCAACCUUGUAAACAAGCUUUGUUUACACAAGAAGACAAUAGGACUCUUCUUUUGUUUCAGAGUUUACAUGUUCAGAGGCUGAGAUCACUAUUUUUGAAAUGUGAUGAUGGGAAUACAAAGUAAUUACCUUUAUGAAGGUUUUACAAAGAAUCCUGUAAGUAAAGCCCAUGACAGAAAUAUAUAGUGUCUCCAAAGAAACAAUUAUGAUGUAUUGUGUUUGAAUAAUAACUCAGAAUGUUUUAUCAUCAUCUGUUUACAUAAUAAGUCAUAAUAACUUUUCAAAAUAUGGUGCUUGCAUUUUUAUUAUUGUUUUAAGUGUACAUAGGGGAAUUACUACAGCCUAGAAUCAUAAACUUUGUAAAACUUUGUUGAAGACUGCAUUUUUAUUCCCAUCCUCUUCUGCUCAAACAAAAAUGUAAAGGAAACAACACACAAAUAAAAGUACGCUAAAAUAAUCCCAUGUGUCUGGCUAAAAGAAAAGACAGGAAAUUCUUAAAAGUGUGGUUAUAAACUGAAAAAUGCCUUUAAACAUGGCUUCCUACUGUCUCACAUUUAUAUAUUCAUAAUUAUUUCACUAUCAAUAUUUUCUUUGCUUAUAUGUACACAAAUUACAUUAUUCAACAUGCCAAGACCACAUUCUCAGUCUGAUAUCUGGAAUACAAAGCCCUGUUGUCACUGGCUUCUACUACAGUGUUAAAGAUGGAACUGAGAGAAAUUCCUAGAUUCCCUCUCCUGGAAACUUUAUGAUUUAAGCCUACUUCUGACCUUUAGCAAUAUUUCCUUGGGGAGACUGAGGUCCAAAUUAAACUUUCAGGAAUUACAAGAGAAAUUUCAAUGAACUCUAGAGAUGCCAGAAAGACAAAUGACAAAAGUAGUUAAAGCAAAAGUGCUGAGCACGUCUUAAGUGCUUCAAUUAGAACUCUUGUUCCCCACAGGAUGUUCCAGAAAGGUGUAGAGGUGCUCACAGACCCUCACAAUGGUUUCAGACAUCUAGCCCACAAAGUAGAAUCCAAAGCCAAGAUUAGAGAGCUGUUACCUACAGAGAACAGAUGAUGUUAUGUGAGAGGACUAACAAAGUAGAAACAUUAUGGAGUUAUCUAGAAUCUAACUCAUAAUUUUGAAAGUCAGAUAAUGCCAACCUAUGUAGUUGAGGCACUCUGUCACAGUGGAAGACUGUGGUUAUUUCCAUCCACUCAGUGUCCACAGACCAUCAAGGUAAUUCAAUUUUUGUUUCAAAGGCUCCGUUUUUUUAAAAAAACAUAACCACUGUUGAAGAUGAGAUGUUAAUAAUGGAACAUAGGAUUAUUCUUAGUUCUACUAUUUACUGAAAAAUAGACAUACAAACUGUGUGGGGCAAAGACAAAGGCCAGAAUCCUGCUUGCUCCAUAAAAAUUGUUUCCUUCCUCAUUUAUCUCCUUGAAUCUUAAUGAGUUUUGCAGUUGUAGUGCACAUCUGUACAGCUAUGUAGACUAGCCUGGGACCCAGUGGGUAAGGUGUGCCUCCUCAGAAAUUAGAGUUUAAAAUACCUGAGGUCAAAGCAGAUGUAAAAAGUUGUCUCCUUCUGAAAGGUUUCCAGUUUUAUUGGCAUAUACUACGUUUGUCUGAGUGCACUUUCCAGGUCUGUGCUAUAAGCUAACACUACCAUUUAUCUUCUGGAUUCCCAGACUGUUUAAGUCAGACAGAGGUACAUGCCCGCUUCACCCUGAGCCCUUCUGCGAAUGGUCAGAAACAGAAUACUGUGUGAUCUCAAAAAGAUUCAGAGCAAACAUGGAAGACAGUUAUGUUUAAAUGACACUCUGGUUGGGCAGGCACUGAACGCAGUAACAGUUUCAACAUAGACACCUUAAACCUUCCAGUAUUCUAUUUUAGGUAAGUUGUUUUAUUGUCUCUAACCUGCUGAUUAUUUGUGAGAUGUAAAAAUGUGCAGAUACGUCUCCCUCAUCUGAUGUUGCUUCUUUGCUGCUAAGAAGGAGGUAAAACAUUACUCUUACUUAAAUUCUGCAAUGAAUGAGCACAACAGUUCAUUUCUAAAAAGGUACAUUUUUUUUUCUUUACAUGGAAUGUUUCUGAAUUCUUACUUAUUUUUCCUUAAAGUCUGUCAGAUGUGUAUCAUUCACUUUAAAGUUAUUUCCCACAUAGUUGCAUUCUUAAGGUAAAAAGAUCAAAAGGAUGGAUGGGUUCAGAGCACAAGCUGUAAACUAGUUAUAAUUCAAGAUGACUGACAAUAUUUAAAUCUUGUUCUGACAAACUAUAUAAAUGACUAAAGAACAUGGAUUCUUCAUGUGACUCUUUUAAACAAAUUUCUGCCUAGAUAUAGGUAGAACCAGGCUUAUCCUACAGCAAGAUAGAGGAUCUGGGCUCAGCACAGCAGAGCAGUACAGCCACAACUGUGUCUCACAAACAGAAGCACGUAAACCGGUCUUUUUUUCUCUGGUAAAUACAUACUUACAAUUACCUGAUAGUUUGCCAGCAGUGCUAUUGGUCAGCAAAGAUACCACUUAUAGCCACACCAGUGGACUCUACAUAGAGAGUUGGAACAUACAUAUUUCGUAUAUGAUGGCAGAUUUUUUUAUACAGAACUUCCUUUCACUUAAUUAUUAACUGCUAUAUAACCUGUCAAAGUGUGUAACAGACUGAGUGAACCACUUUCUGGGGCCAGCAUUUACUAGGAUAUUUGCAGAGCAUCAAAAUCAUACGUGGAAAGGAACUAGUUUGUCAUCUUAGGUCAACCAGCUGAUCACUUCAUCUUCCAGGAUCUUUCAAAAUGGUGCAUUUUAUUUUCUUGUGGGAAAAGAAAACUUUAACAAGAAAUUGAAUCCAUUACCCGUUUAGUGCUGUCAUACUGUUCUAUUGAGUUUUAUAGGCUGGUUCAAAAGUUUACAUAACUCUUAUUUGGUAUUAAAAUUUAUAGUGUUUUUUGAAUAAUUUCUGAAAUCCUUUUGGCUUCAUGCUUCUUCCAGUGUAUAAAUUUUUCCCUUUCCAGUGUCGUCCUCUUUCAGCAUAUAGAUCUUUCCUGGCAACAUUGAAGCAAAACAGUAUCAGACUUUAAAGUCAGAAUCUUUCCCCAUUUAAGUGCAUCCAAAUAAUCAUUUCCUCUCCAUUCUUGGUGUUUACAUGCAUCAAAUACUUGAAGAUAGUUAUGCUUCUUAUGAGCCACUUAGUUAAUCUCCAAUGUACAUACACAUAUUUUACUCCUUUAAUCUUUCUUCAUAAAUAAGUUUCUCUGUCCCCCUUAAUCAUACUUGCUAGUCCUCUCUAUAUUCUCUCCAAAACCUUUUAUUUCUGCUUUCAUUUUGGCUGUCGGAACCAUUGCUUUAAAAUUUCUUCAUUCUAAGUUUACUUAAGUGCCAAAAAAAAAAAAAAUUGCUAGAAAUAAAAAUAGUAAUAAGUUUCAGCAUAAAGCAAACAUAUUCCAGUUAAGGUAAUGUAUAUUAUAAGCACUCCUUUCCUUUUGCAAUUAAUAUUGGAUUUUCAUAGUGUAACAAAACAUCUUUAUUGCACUAGAAUACAGGAUGGGAUAUACUUUAUCUGUCUUUCAGAUUCUACUGUCCUUUCUAAACAUUUCUCACUGCCUGAAGCUUAAUUGAUCUGUUUUAGAUUACUAAAUCAGGGUGGAAUGAUGAAUCACAGCGUUGACUUUGCCAGAUAUGAAGAGAGUUUAAGACAUUCAGAACCUGAGCUCAUGUGAACCGACAUUAUCAGAAGUUUAUAAAUACAGACUUCUGCAUCUGGACAGAUGAUUUGUGAUAUCUUCCAUACUGCAUGAAAGCACAGGAUAACCAAAGCAGGCUUGUUAUUCCAUAGCAUACAAUAGUUCUUCAAAACCAGGAUUGUUAAGGUGGUGUAUUUAUCUGGAGACCUCCAGGAUUUUCAGACUAAGAUGCAGCUUUGUGUCUAACUGCAGCCUAGACAAUACAUAGAUGGGAAAAUUCUCAGUAAUUAAAUAUCAAGACCCCCAAGGCAUUACAUCAUUCUAUCAAGGAACUGAGUAUUCAAGAAGUUAGCAUCAGAGUCAACAUUUACACAAGACACAUGCACAUUAUGUAAUUAGAAGAUUAAGGUAAAAGUAAGACACUGCCUUUGGGAAAAUCUGUUUCUUAAUUGGCAGAAAGAUGAUUAAACUUGCCACAUCAGAUACUUUUGUUAAAUUGAAGAUCUUAAGAAAACAAACUCUUAUUUAUAAUUCUCAUCCCCUUAACUCCUGAAGAAGAGCUGGAAAACCACUGAAUUUCUUGUCAAAAGAAUCAUGAUUAAAAACCAACCAAAAAAAAAAAAAAAAAAAACCCACCUUGCUGUGUUUAUUCAGUCCCUCCAAUAAUCUUAAGGCAGGUUUUCCUUGAGAUAUCAUAUUGUUCCUCAGGGAAACGUUUACUUCCUAGAAGCUUCUUCAAACAUAUUUUUUUCCUAACCAAGAAACACAAGAAUUAUAAUUGGAAGUGAUCUGCAAACCAUUUACAGAUGUGUGGCAAUGAGCUAAUCUCCUUUACCCACAGUUAGUAGAGCUUCUUCAUACCAGCAUUAGUGGUUCAGAAGAUCUGCUUCUCCACAAAGCUGUGCUCUUAGAAACACAGGGAGACUGGAGAAGUUGUUGAACCACCACAAGACUUGAGAAGCUAUGGAAUCACCUCUGUUGAGCUGGGAAUCAACACAAUGCUUUCUCAGAACAGCUUUUGAAACACCACUGUAAGCUACUGAAAGAUGCGUGAAUGUUUCCUGUGAACAGCAGGGAGUAUGCCCAGCAAAGGAUGGUGGGACUUACUUUGCUGGUAAAAUAUUUUCAUACAUGAAAGACAAAGCUUUUCCUCCUCAGCCAUGUAAGACUAUGACUUCCAGAAGUGAUAAAAUGAUCGGUAGUGCAACAUAGCUCACUGUGUACCUGGCAUUUGGUUAUCUGUAUUGUACUUUCUAUAUUAUUUCAGUGAACUGAAAAAUUAGUCCAUUAUUCUGAUGGCAGAGACAACCAGCUGUCUUCUUGAUAAGAUGUUGCCUGUUUUUCUCUCUUUUCCUUUUUAACCUGUUAAGCUGUUUAUGUAAUAAGUGAUAGCAAGUCAGACGGUUCAACUAAAGUAAAACACUGCUAAUGGAAUAUAGUGUGUUCAUUGUUUUAAAAAGUCUUCCAUAGAUAAUAAGUGUUUGUAAAAAAGAAACAUUUUGAAGUAUUAGUUUAUGCUUGCUUUCCAUUUCUAUUUUAAGCCUACAUAGAAUAAAAAAAAAGAUGGAGAGACAAGAAAGUAAAAAUGAUAGCACUCAGAUAGUCACAACACACUGAAAGAUUUUGUUUGACAAAAGCAUUGCAGUUCCUAUAAAAACAAAGCUUAGCAGAUUAAAAAUAAUAAUAAUAAUAAUUAGCCUGCUAAAAAAAUUCUCUUUUAUCAUUUUCCAUCAGAAAAUCAAAAAUAACUACAAUUGUUUUAUUUAAUCUGUUCCUGUAAAAUAGAUUUGCAGUAUUCUUUCUCCCGUAUUUUCAGAACUGAACAAUUUUUUACCAUAUGUGCUGUUUUAGUGCAAGUCUCCACUUUCAAAUAUUUUUAUUUUAUGAUGUCUCUUCUGCUUUCUUUCAUUUGCAGGUUUGUUCUUCAUUCUUGCAUCACAGCAGGAGUUGUACCCUUUAUCAGUGUUGAUGUCUUCUUAAAAGAGGGUCUGUGACCGCAUUUGAAGUAUCUCUACUACCAGUUGUGGUGAUUUCACCCUGAUGUGCAGCUAAACUACUACAUCAUUCUCCUGUUACUCCUACUCAAAGGAAGAGGGGGAGAAAAUGAAAUGAAAAAAGGCUCAGGGUUUGAGAUUACCGUCACUGAUCAGUGAUUAUGAGAAUAAAUAAACAUAGUGUGGAAAAAUCUUUGUAUAGUCAUUAAAAUACCCAAGUGUGGCAUUCUAGUAGAGAUUUAAUAAGGAGAAGAAACUGACCCUCAGACUUAGGAAUUCAUUUUCUUUACUUUUCUACAAGGACAGACAUACAUCUCUCUAUCUAAUUUAUAUAUACAUACGUAUAUAUAAAGCAAAGCUUUUAAAGAAUUUUUAUUUAUCAUUGUAAAAUCUCUACUUAGAAUUGGAAAGAGAUAGAAAAAAAAAAAGUAGACUUUGAUUAUCACCUUGAUACAUCUAAGUGUUUACAGUGGGAGCUAAGCUGUAGCAUAGCAAUGUAAUAAAAAUAGAAAGUAAAGUGACGUAAAAAGUGCACUGAGGACUACCUUAUAACUAAUUCCAAACGUUCAAGAAUAGUAAAUGGUUAACAGUGAUGCAAAAGGAAAUUACAGAAAAAACAAUCAAAAAGGACUCCUAAACAAUGAAAGGAAACAAAAAAUUAAUAAAGCAGAAGACUGAAAAACAGAUAAGGAGAGCAAAACGGUGAAAGAUUUCACAGAAGAUUAUGAAAUUAGCACAAAAAAUUUUUAAACAAUCCUAAGAAUAAACUGUCAUUGAAGAACAGAAUAGGGAUUGUGGAGGAUCAUUUUUUAAGGGAUGAGGUAAAAAAAGAUGGAAAAUUUAAACAAAUUCUUCGCAUAGCUGUUCAGAAAGAAAUGUCAGCUCGCAGAGCUGUAGAAAUAUAGGUACAUAUUUUCUGGAGCAAAAGGAAGGAUAAAACACCUAAGUAAACACACACUGUAUGUGACAUAGUACAGAUGACAAUCUUAGCAUGUAUCACAUAAAAUAAUUUCUCAGUGCUAAAGCAUAUGCACUUCAGAAUUCACAGAAAGGGACAAAAAACAGCAUCACUCUUCACAAGACUAAUUUACAUCACUUCACCAUUCAGAUAACUUUUCCUUUUCAAAAUGUUGCUUUGAAGUCACAUGGGCUACUUACAUGACUGACAACUCUAGGACUGCAGUGAAAAAGAAGUUUCAGUGGAAUUAAAGAAAAAGUAACGGGAAGUGUGCAGGAGGUAUCUGUGCAAAGAAGGGCCCCAUGCAACUCCUCUCACAGCUUGCCUCUAAAAACUCAAGAACUGGGUUUAAAUGAGAGAAACACCUUGUCUUUCUGGCAAGUUUUAGCAAUGCCUUCUAUGCAGGAAAGCAAUUUGCUUCAAGACCAAACAGAAAUGCACACUGGUUAAGAGUGAUAUAUUACAAAAACAACAGAGUAUAGCUAAAUUCAGCAAAUUAUGAAGCAAUGGCUAUUUCAGUGAGAGUCAGAGAUUCGUCUAAUGAGAUCCAGGAGUUUCAGCUCUGAACAAAAAGUGAUGAAUUCAAGCUUAAAUUCCUACAAGUAACCCCUAUUCUACAUUAAAGGUAACCAUCCAUCACAUUUUUAACUACAUCUACAAGGGAGUUCAGUAACUUCAGUCUAAAAAAUUCAAAACACAGACAUAUUUUCAGCCAAAACAAAGCCAGAGCCAGCAGUAAUUUUAAUUCUUUUCACUAAGUAUUGUUCUGGCCAUAAGACUAUGUGUAAAAUGGAUGUGGUUGAAGCCACAAUGGACUGUAAGGUUUAUAGGAUGAACAAGUUGCUAAGGAAGAGCUUGCAUGCCUAAAAACUUACAUUAUUCCAGCUGGAGUGCAUCCUGUAACAACAGUACUUCUUUAUUCUUCCAUAUCUUCCCUAAAAAGCUGAGCGCUCUGGCUGAAGACAGGCCAGGAGAGGCGCAUGGAUGUUUGCCUUCUUCAUGUUGCCUGAAAACCUAGUCCUUGUCUCAUCUGGGAACAGGACAGUCAUGCCAAGUGGAUGCAUCUCCCUGCAUCUGUGGAGAGACAGCAAAUGUGCUGUCUGGAAAGUAUCUGUGUUCUAGGAGGUGAGAAACUGGCUUGGGCUGUUUGAUUUCACUUCUACUCAGAGAAAUGGGGCAAUGAACUUUCUAAUAAACAGGUUUGGUUCACAGAGGGAUGACUCCACCAUCGAUCAUUCCACCAGAGGAAUAACUCAAGAUUCGAAAAUUUUAACCAGAUAAUUUUAUCAAAAGAAUAAUAAAAAAAAAAAAAAAAAAAAAAAAAAAAAAAGGACCAAGUAAUGACUUAAAACAAUUGCUGUGAUAUUACAUCUACAUAGGAUCUACUGGCCUAUAUGUCAGUUUUAAUCUGCCACUGGUUAAAUCCUACAUACUGAGCAAAAUAACUUACCAACACAAUACAUGCAAAGUAAAUAAAUACUCAAGCAACACUCUAUGUCCCACAUCCACUCAGAUACCAGAAGUGUGUAUUUCCAGUCUGUGAAAUACAAUGAUAAGUAAAAACAGUGAUUCUCCAUGAGUGCAUUACUCAGAAGAAGCAAUGUUAAGGCAGUCAGUGUGAUCUUUAAAAAUCACUCCCAGUAAAUAAAUAAAUAAGCACCUCUACCUGCACAGCUAUCUGAAGACAAGUUAACAAAUUCUGUUUUCCACUUAUUAGCAAAUCAGUUGUUCUGUAAAGAAUACAUGAUCAAAACCUACAGCAACAGCUGGCACAUGUAUAAAGCGGGGCAAAAAAAUUAAGAUGAAGUAUUUCUGACAAAAAAAUAUAUGAAACAAAACAAAGUUGAAAACUGAAGCAGAUAUCAGAUAACCAUUUUGUCAUUUAUAAAAUACUUUUUCAGGACAAAAGGGGUUGCCAUACCUUUUCACUCAGCAUAUCCUCAGAGUCACAUAUUAAGCUGAUCAAAUCCGAGGGUACUGCAGUAAGCUGAAGCUUGAAGCUGCCUCCACUUCCUUCAUUUCGUUUACAGUUUUGUUUGGGGGUUGUUCUUUUUUUUCUUUUUAGCUUGCAGAAACCUGAGGGAAAAAAUAUUUUGGGGGUUACUAUCGAAAUAGUUUAUUCAGUAGUCAAUUAACUGAAAAAAACAAAUAGUUCUAAACUGAUCUCUUAUAUACCAUGCCCCUUUUUAUAUCAUAGUUAUUGGUUCCAUUCUGUUGUUAUAUUUUACUGAAAACAUUAUGAAUAUAAAUGAGAAUAGUGCACAAAGAGCAGAGGUGAAGAUAUGUCCCAUUAGAAAUCUGCUUUUUUACUUACAUUUACUGAGGUUAUCAAGUACCUCUUUAUGAACUCUUCAUCCCUUUCUAAAAGGUAAAGUUGAAAUUGGGAAAUAUAUUGCAUCAGUUAUUGGGCAUUCUGGGGUUUUCCAUUAUUUUAAAAACCUCCUAUGUGCCUAAUUAUAGCUAAUAAGUACUGUUUAGAAACAUAGCAGAGAACUCAUGAUUUCCUUCUUCACCCAAUGCCCAGAAAAUCCAUGUCCGAGAACAAAAUCUUGAAGGUAUUUGUGAUCAUGACCCAUUCUCAUUAUCUGUAUCCAUUCUAAGAUUUUUAUAUUAUAUGAAUGAAUAUUUUAAAGUGAAAUUAUAGUAUUCAAUGGCAAAUUACAACUACAUGUGACCAAGAGAGGAUUAAACCCAUCAUUUUGCUUAAGAGCUCUGAUGGCUGGAGUAAUUGGAUGAUAGCUGUAGGGCAUCUUUUUGGUCUGUAAUUAGGUCAUUUCUUUCUCAUCCCUUCACUGUGUGUAUAAUUACGAAUUAAUUUGAAAUCCCACUGUGAGUAAAGAAAGUCAGUUUAAUAUAACGGAAGUGCAAAAGCCACAAUAUAUUACUUUUUAAAAACUGCUUAUUUCAAAAUACUCAGUCUGGCCAAAAGUUAUAUCCCUAUGUACUGCAAGGCUUAUAUUUGGUUUCUUUGCUAACUUUGUACAAGUGCUGCUCUGAAAGUAAUGCCUCCUGUUUUAUUAUGUUGGUGUGCAAUGUCAGAGGUGGAUUUUGGUGGUACAUCAGGAGAGGUUGAACCUUCACACCAGUAUUCCACUACAUUUUGUUGCUGUGUGACAGAUGGCAGCAGAGGGUCAGUCUGACAAAAUGGCUUCUGACACGGAAGCAUCUGAGAAGAAAAGAUGUGGAACUGAAUUCCUCCAUGUGGUAAAAAAAUUGCAUCCAUUGACUUUCACUGAUGCUUGCUGAACAUUUAUGGAGAUCAAACAGUGGAUGUGAGCUCAGUGAGGUUGUGGGUAAUGUGUUUCAACAGCAGUGAUAGUGGCAGUGGUUCACCUCCACCGGUGCAAAUUUUUACAAGAACAGCAAGCAGGUUCUCGUUCAUCGUUGGCAAAAAUGCAUAGCUAAUGACAGUGAAUAUGCAGCAAAAUAAAGUUUGUAUUUGAGAAUUUUCUCUAUGAAAUAGUGUUAUUGUGCUCUUUGUAUUUGUUGCAGUUUCUAUGGAAAUAAACAGCAAGUAUUACUUUUGAAUCAAUCUACGUUCCUGGAUGUAUUUUCUCUCUUAAAAUAAAUGAAUUUUCAAAGCACCACACUUUGCUCCAGUAUCUGUCAGUAGGUGUCAACAGCACAAAAAGGUAGUGGAAAGAAAUAAAAAGUAACCAUGAGAGUCUUGACAGACAGUAUUAGCAUCAGAGAACUUAGAGGCCACUCUCAACACAGUCAACCAUUUUAUCCUUUAGUCCUGCCAUUAUUUCCUUCCACUGAAACUACCUUUCUGCUUUUACCCUGAAAGUGUUAAACACUGCACAACCCUAACUAGCAUACCUGCUACUAUGUGCAUCAGGAGCUCACCAUUUCAUCAUCUGGCUGAGAUAUGCUGCUGGCAAGUUCUGCUUCCCUUCCUUUAUCACAACAUUGUGGUCGGAUGCAUCAGACCUCCCUCCCGCCUUAGCAAUGAUACAGGUAAAAACAUGCAUUUCUGACAAAUGGAUAACCCCAAGCAGAUCUGUGGAGACAAUGUUUUGACUUGCUGAACUUCCUGUUUCAUUCUGUUUUCAUCUGUCCCCAGAAACCUUGAAAGGGGUCGGUGAGAGGGUCCCAGGUGUGAUCUGAGCACCAGUGAUGUCAACAGCGAGCCAGGGGCUGUGCAGGGUGUGAAGUUAAAGGGAAGAGCAGAGAAAAGACUGUUGGUGCAGAGAACAAGGGUACUGAGAUUUGACUGUAUUUGUAGCUGUGCUGUAAAAAACUGUAAAACAUCCCAUGCCGUUAGCAUAAGAUUAGAUUUCUGCCAGGAAAAAAAAAAAAAAAAAGAGAGAGAGAGAGAGAACAAAAAGAAAUGGAACUGCUUAGAUAUAAGUUCCAAAGUUCAUUAAGAGGGUUCUUUUCUGCAUAGCUCCAAAGCUAAGAUGUGCUAAGGCAUGUAGAAAAAUAAGGAGGUGUUAAAAACCUACCCAACUUCUUAGCUUUCAAAAAAAGUUCAAAGUCCUAGUCAUCGAUUAUUUACAUGGUGACCUCCAGGCCUAUUUGUGAUGCCAAAAAAAUUGUACUCAGGAAGGAAGGAAGACAUUAUCAAAAAGGAAAGAAUUUCUGUUUAAUCUAAUAAUGCCUUUAUAAAAAUAACCAUUUUCUUUUACAUAUAAUAAAAAAUUCAUUAGAAAAUCUCAACAUAUUUUUAUAUAAAAAUAAUAACUGGCAACAUAGCUAGAAAUAAGAAGCAGAGAAAGAAACUUGGAUGCAUUUCUUGCUUGCAAGAGCAUGAUGAGGAAAUAAGGUAAUCUAGUCUUCCCAUUCUGAACAAAAUAGACAUGAUAACAGAAUAUAUAAAUCAAGACAUUUUUGGAGAAAUAAUGUCACUCCAUAAUUUUUGAAAGUAGAAAUAAUUUAAAAUUCAUGCAUGAAACUAAAUAGGUAAAAUAUGUCAUUUUGAAAUAACAUAACAGUAAAAAUAAUUUGUAAAACUUUUUUUGUUUUUUAACUGAGUCUCAUUUUAUACUUGGAAAAUUUUCUUUAGAAAAUUUUCAACCUCUUCUAUGUAGCUCCUGGGUAAAUAUGGAGGUUUUAUGGAAACCAAACAAAUGAAUUAAAUGACUACAAGAAUUAUUGGCUCUAAAUAUAUACAUUUUCUUCUGAUGCUACUAGAAUGUUACUAGUAUAUACUGUAUGAAUUAUAAAAAAUGUUAUGACAGAUAUGGAAGUAAUAUACUUCGGUGAUAAAUCUUCAAUAGAAAGAAUUUAUUAGAGUCAUAUAGAUCUACU
rnacentral:lncRNA from 1 species